rnacentral:rRNA from 1 species
AUUGAACGCUGGCGGCAGGCCUAACACAUGCAAGUCGAGCGGUAGCACAGAGAGCUUGCUCUCGGGUGACGAGCGGCGGACGGGUGAGUAAUGUCUGGGAAACUACCUGAUGGAGGGGGAUAACUACUGGAAACGGUAGCUAAUACCGCAUAACGUCGCAAGACCAAAGAGGGGGACCUUCGGGCCUCUUGCCAUCAGAUGUGCCCAGAUGGGAUUAGCUAGUAGGUGGGGUAACGGCUCACCUAGGCGACGAUCCCUAGCUGGUCUGAGAGGAUGACCAGCCACACUGGAACUGAGACACGGUCCAGACUCCUACGGGAGGCAGCAGUGGGGAAUAUUGCACAAUGGGCGCAAGCCUGAUGCAGCCAUGCCGCGUGUAUGAAGAAGGCCUUCGGGUUGUAGAGUACUUUCAGCGGGGAGGAAGGUGUUGAGGUUAAUAACCUCAGCAAUUGACGUUACCCGCAGAAGAAGCACCGGCUAACUCCGUGCCAGCAGCCGCAGUAA